CCCUUAGAUGUUCUGGGCUGCACGCGCGCUACACUGAAGCUAUCAACACGUUUUCCCUCCCUGAGAAGGGCGGGUAACCUUUUGAACCAGCUUCGUGGUAGGGAUCGGGGCUUGCAAUUGUUCCCCGUGAACCAGGAAUUCCUAGUAGACGCGAGUCAUAAGCUCGCAUCGAUUAAGUCCCUGCCCUUUGUACACACCGCCCGUCGCUACUACCGAUUGAACGUUUUAGUGAGGCAUUUGGACCGACGCAUCUCAGUUUAACCGCUGGUUUGUGUUGGAAAGACUUCCAAACUUGAGCGUUUAGAGGAAGUAAAAGUCGUAACA
rnacentral:rRNA from 1 species